rnacentral:ncRNA from 10 species
ACCUGGUUGAUCCUGC